GUAGGUGAACCUGCGGAAGGAUCAUUAAUAUAUAUAAGGCCACGGGGCAAAGCUCUCCGAAAGGACAGUUGGUGGAUGUUCGGUUCCACCGGCUGGGGCAGACUGGAGAACAAUGUCAGCGAUACACUGCCUGACCUCUUUUCGACCUCUGCUAUCGAGCUUGCUGUCUGAACCCUACCCUUGCUUUUUGCGCACCUAUUGUUUCCUCGGCAGGCUUGCCUGCCAGUAGGACCCUCUUAAACCCUUUGUAAUUGCAGUCAGCGUCAGAAACAACGUAAUCGUUACAACUUUCAACAACGGAUCUCUUGGUUCUG
rnacentral:misc_RNA from 1 species